AAGGCUUAAAAUUUAUGAAUAUAUAUAAUUACUAGUGCUAAAUGGAUUUUUUUUUUUUUUUUUUAAUUCAAUAAGAUUUGGGUAGAUUACAGUGAUCUCUCCUGAAAUUUGAACAAAUCUCACACAAGUGAAGCGUUUCAGAUUUAUUGUUUUGACCUCCUUUCAAAUUUAGAUUUAUGCCGUUAUACUUAUUUAUUUUAUUUUUUUAGAAUAUUUUUUUAGGACUGGGUAAUGGUAGUGGAGAGGAGAAAGAAAGUAAUAAGAGCGAUGAGGUAAAAAAUUGUUUGUUUUUUAAGAUUUUAUAAUAUAUAUUGUAUUAUAAAAAUAUAUUACAUGUAAAAGUAUAAUUGAUUUUUUAUUCGGAUUAACAAACUUCGAAUGCUUCACGUACGUGAGAUCUGUUCAAAUUUGAAAGGAGAUAAUUGUAAUUUACUCAUAAAAGUUUCUACCACUAAAAAUACAUUUUUGUUUCGGACUCUAAAAAUAAAAACCUAGGGUUCCACUUAUGUGACGUCUUUUGCCUUAGCCUUCAAAGAGACAGUAGGAUCUUCGAAGAAGAGGGGAAGAAAAUCUAGCUACCUUCCUCUCAUCACCAUGAGAGCUAAGUGGAAGAAGAAGCGAAUGAGGAGGUUGAAGAGGAAGCGCCGAAAGAUGAGGCAAAGAUCUAAGUGAUAGUUGCUGAAAAUAAAUUUGCAGAGUGUUCAAAUUUAAGCUGUCUGAUGGUAUUUUUCUGUUAAUUUCGAUUUCGUGAACUUUCAUAGUUUGUUCUACUAUUUGUUAAGCUUAAAUUACAUUGUGAGACUCUGAUGCAUUUGUUGAUGAAAUGCGAUUUAGUUGCUAUGUUUUGUGUUCA